GCGCGCCCGAGUUCCGCUUCCCCGCGCGCCGAGCCCCACCUGCGCCCGCGCUCUCUCGCUUCCCUCGGGUCGAUUCAAAUCUGGACAAACUCACCGGCUCAGUGCCGGAGUCCUUGAAGCCUGAAAAGGCCUCGUGCGAAUGCCGUGUCCUGGAAGCUUAAAGUCCAACCACAGUUUUAGAGCAGACCCACCUUACAAGACUAAUGGAAAGAAGGAAGUGAAACUGGAGGAGAUAAGCUAUUCCUUGCACUUCAGCCAUGCCCCAACUGCAACCACAGAGGAAUGGGGGAGACAAACAAAAAUGCAGCUUUCGUGGUGAGCCUGGAAAUCAGCAUCAGGGUGAAGGAGACAGAUGCUGAGGAUACUCAACACCUACCAUAGCAGACAUCCAGAGGCUCCUAAGAGGUCAUCCUUGAAGUAGACUUAAAACACAGUAGUGGUAGGAGGAUCGCUGUGAGUUUGAGGCCAGUGCUAGAGUGAAACCCAACAUCAAAAAUAAAAAAAUAAAAUAAAAUAAAAAAACACCCAACAUGGCUCAGGGAAUUCUGCAGAAGAGGAGGAAGAAAGAUUGUAUGAGCCACAAAUAGGGCCGUCAUGCCAAGAGGCAUUGCCUUCUCCCAACCACUGACAGCUGCUCCCACAAUGCAUAGCCCACAGCCCCAAGGGGAAUACCUGCAUCCUCACUGAGGAGGACCCCCAGCUGAAAGAGGGCAGGGACAAGGGAAAGGAUGGGACCAACUCAUUAUGUAGCCAUACUAAGUAUGUCUGUAAUUAACUACAUUUUUUAAAAAUUGGGACUAUAUUUAAUUUCUGAGGGCUACUUAUGUUUAGAAGUUAACAACAAUAAAAAUAAGGAACCUAGGACAGAACAAGAUGUUUAUGAACAAUAUUACUAAUGCUCUUAAAAGUAAUUUGAGAAGUUCUAAUCAAUGUUAUAAAGAUGAAAUUUCUCAACUUGAUCAAUAGAUUCUACAAUCCCAGUCAAAAUCCCAAUACAGACUUUUCCUAAUACUUGAUAAACUGAUUCUGAAAUGUAGGUAUCAAGGAUCCAAAAUAACCAAGACUUUAUGAACAAAUGCAAACAACUUCUGAUGAGGUCUCCAAUUAAGAGUAUACGGCAGGGCUGGCAAGGUAGUACAGUAAGAAGAAUGCUCACCUAGCAUGCAGGAGGCCCUGGCUUCUAGCCCCUGCACCACACGAAGCAGGUUGAGGCUGGAGAGAUGACCCAGCAGUUAAGGCAUUUGCAUACAAAGCCUAACAACCCAGGUUUGAUUCCCC